GAUGAACGCUGGCGGCGUGCCUAAUACAUGCAAGUCGAGCGAACAGACGAGGAGCUUGCUCCUCUGACGUUAGCGGCGGACGGGUGAGUAACACGUGGAUAACCUACCUAUAAGACUGGGAUAACUUCGGGAAACCGGAGCUAAUACCGGAUAAUAUAUUUAACCGCAUGGUUCAAUAGUGAAAGACGGUUUUGCUGUCACUUAUAGAUGGAUCCGCGCCGCAUUAGCUAGUUGGUAAGGUAACGGCUUACCAAGGCGACGAUGCGUAGCCGACCUGAGAGGGUGAUCGGCCACACUGGAACUGAGACACGGUCCAGACUCCUACGGGAGGCAGCAGUAGGGAAUCUUCCGCAAUGGGCGAAAGCCUGACGGAGCAACGCCGCGUGAGUGAUGAAGGCCUUCGGAUCGUAAAACUCUGUUAUUAGGGAAGAACAAAUGUGUAAGUAACUAUGCACGUCUUGACGGUACCUAAUCAGAAAGCCACGGCUAACUACGUG
rnacentral:rRNA from 1 species